AUUUAUUAACGGCCGCGGUACUUUGACCGUGCUAAGGUAGCGUAAUUAAUUGGCUUUUAAAUGAAGUCAGGUAUGAAUGGAGUUACGGGGUUUUACUGUCUCUAAACUAAUUUAUUGAAAUUACUAUAUAGAUGAAAAAGUCUAUAGAUUGAAAAAGGACGAGAAGACCCUUAGAGUUUUAUUUAAUGUAAUUUUUAAUUAUAAUGAUUUAGUUGGGGCAACAUAGGAACAAAUUAACUUCCUAAAAAUAAUUUACCGAUUUUUAUAAAAAUGUUUAAACUACCUUAGGGAUAACAGCAUAAUUUAAUAUAUAAGUUUGUGACCUCGAUGUUGGACUAGGAAAUCUAAGGGCUAGCCGCUCUCGGAAAAGGUUCUGUUCGAACUACAAUUCCU
rnacentral:rRNA from 1 species